UACGUAGGGUGCGAGCGUUGUCCGGAAUUAUUGGGCGUAAAGGGCUCGUAGGCGGUUUGUCGCGUCGGGAGUGAAAACACCGGGCUUAACUCGGUGCUUGCUUUCGAUACGGGCAGACUAGAGGUAUGCAGGGGAGAACGGAAUUCCUGGUGUGGCGGUGAAAUGCGCAGAUAUCAGGAGGAACACCGGUGGCGAAGGCGGUUCUCUGGGCAUUACCUGACGCUGAGGAGCGAAAGUGUGGGGAGCGAACAGG
rnacentral:rRNA from 1 species